rnacentral:misc_RNA from 1 species
GUGAUCUCUUCCACAGACAUAUCAACUUUAUCAAGAAAUCUAUCCAACCAUGAGAGAACUUUUAAGGCAGUACUAUGCAUUGCAUCAAUCUGUUUCUUAUAAGAUUCCUUUGGUGAACACAGCAGAAUUAAUUCCUGGCACUUGGAGUAUAUCUUCACUGUACAUCUGUAGACUAGAUUACACCCUUCUUGUGCUACAGCAGUAGCUGCAAGACCCCCUUCAUUAGUUUCGUUUUCACCUGAUGAUGUAUCCCUCAAUCUUUUACGUCCAGGUAAAUCUGGCAGAGGUUCAAUGGAAUCGCU